rnacentral:lncRNA from 1 species
AGAAAAACGAACAGAUUUUCAAUAUUUUUCUUUGGUAAAUGGGUUAACUAAAUUAGAAUUUGGGGGUUGGCGCUUUUUUUUUUGUCACUGCUUUUAAUUAAGUUGGUUCCUUGCCUGGAGCAGACAGACUUGUUUACCCACAAUGGCCAUGAAAUUCUCUGUUCUUGAUGGUUUAAUUAUCUCCUCAUUGCCUGGUAAUUCUUUUAAGGCUUUUUUUAUUUAUUUUUUUUCAGUGUGGCACAGCAGACAAGAAGAAUCAUCUGUCUUCCUCUGUUCAAUCUUAUGAACUUACUUACACGGUCCCUUCACAUAGGACAACUUUUGAGUUGAUGGUUUAAGGCAGUGUCUAUUCUUAAAAUAGUACAAAUUGUUUUGUUUUCUUUUUCAGUUACCUGCGCCACUGCAGUCCAUGCAUGACCUGUACAAGCACCUGCUGCCUAGAGUCCUUACAGGAUCUGAAUUUUGUUUAUUUGUUUGGUUGCAUCACCUGUCAGAUGCAGAAAAUUCUACUGAGAAGAGCACGGCAAGUUCCAUGCACCUCCCACCUCAACACUGUCUGAUUCUGUUAGUGGUCUGGCUGUGAUGAGAACUAGGUCUGAAAGCUAUGAAUAUCCUUCACUGGGCUAGAAUAGGAGCAACACUAUUUGGACAGAAAUAGAACAAGCUGAAAGAUAACCAUCCAUGAAGAAAAAGGAAAAUCCAGUAUUGCUGACAAGUGGGUGUUUCUCCCUCAUUUACAUCCUCUGUCUUUAUUGCAAGUUGCAAUGGCUGGGCCAGCAUCUGAUGAUCCUGGUUACAGUGCUCCUGUGGAAAGAGCUGCUGUGCAAGACUGAAGGGGAGUUUGCUUUACAAUCCACUUUCCACACAGAGGCAACAUUGGGAAUUCUCAUUUCCAGCUAACCUAGAAAGGCUAUGCCCCAUGGCCGUUCUACAAAAGCCACCCAAGUUCUGUGUCAUGACAGGCAGUAAUACAGAAAUUACAAAUACAGCAGAGCUAUAUAGCUGCCUUUUGAAGGGGGAAAAAAAAAUACCCAACCCACACUCUUACUAGGAUAAAGCAAAAAGGCACUUCUCAGACACUACAACUUCUAGAUUAUUGACUUGAACAAUUAAAGAUCUUCUUACCAAUUGAAAGCAUAUUUUUAAAACUAGAAAAGUAGCAGACUGACAUUACUACGAAUGCAGUAUCUCAUACUCCAUGUACCAAACCCUGCUCUCAUUUACAGAAUAAAAUGGAAUAACCCACUAAAGACA